rnacentral:rRNA from 1 species
GACGAACCGUGCGAACGUUGUUCGGAUUCACUGGGCUUAAAGGGCGCGUAGGCGGCUUGCCAAGUCAGGGGUGAAAUCUUUCGGCUCAACCGGAAAACGGCUUCUGAUACUGGCAGGCUGGAGGGAGGUAGGGGCAGAUGGAACUUCCGGUGGAGCGGUGAAAUGCGUAGAUAUCGGAAGGAACGCCGGUGGCGAAAGCGAUCUGCUGGACCUCCGCUGACGCUGAGGCGCGAAAGCCAGGGGAGCAAACGGG